GUGGAGCAUGUGGUUUAAUUCGAUGAUACGCGAGGAACCUUACCAGGGCUUAAAUGUAGUCUGACAGCUUUAGAGAUAGAGUUUUCUUCGGACAGAUUACAAGGUGCUGCAUGGUUGUCGUCAGCUCGUGCCGUGAGGUGUCAGGUUAAUUCCUAUAACGAGCGCAACCCCUGUCGUUAGUUGCCAGCAUGUUAUGAUGGUUGUCGUCAGCUCGUGCCGUGAGGUGUCAGGUUAAGUAUGGCUGUCGUCAGCUCGUGUCGUGAGAUGUUGGGUUAAGUAUGGCUGUCGUCAGCUCGUGUUGUGAAAUGUUGGGUUAAGUAUGGCUGUCGUCAGCUCGUGUCGUGAGAUGUUCGGUUAAGUAUGGCUGUCGUCAGCUCGUGUCGUGAGAUGUUCGGUUAAGUAUGGCUGUCGUCAGCUCGUGUCGUGAGAUGUUGGGUUAAGUAUGGCUGUCGUCAGCUCGUGCCGUGAGGUGUUGGGUUAAGUAUGGCUGUCGUCAGCUCGUGCCGUGAGGUGUUGGGUUAAGUAUGGUUGUCGUCAGCUCGUGCCGUGAGGUGUCAGGUUAAGUAUGGCCGUCGCCA
rnacentral:rRNA from 1 species